rnacentral:rRNA from 1 species
GCGUAUAUUAAAGUUGUUGCAGUUAAAAAGCUCGUAGUUGAAUUUCGGGGUCAGUAGGUUGGUCGUGCCUAUGGUAUGUACUGGCUUUACUGAUUCCUCCUUCUUGAAGAACUGUAAUGUCAUUAAUUUGGUGUUGCAGGGAAACAGGACUGUUACUUUGAAAAAAUUAGAGUGUUUAAAGCAGGCUAACGCUUGAAUACAUUAGCAUGGAAUAAUGAAAUAGGACGUUCGAUCCUAUUUUGUUGGUUUCUAGGAUUGACGUAAUGAUUAAUAGGGAUAGUUGGGGGCAUUAGUAUUCAAUUGUCAAAGGUGAAAUUCUUGGAUUUAUUGAAGACUGACUACUGCGAAAGCAUUUGCCAAGGAUGUUUUCAUUAAUCAAGAACGAAAGUUAGGGGAUCGAAGACGAUCAGAUACCGUCGUAGUCUUAACCAUAAA